ACUUCAGCCUUGAUGAACAAAUUCGAACACCAGUUUGAAAUAUUGGAUAUUCAAACACAACAAAUGGAGGAUAAAAUGAGUAACUCUACAACCCUAACAACACCACAAGCCGGAGAGUGAAUCGGGUCUCCC
rnacentral:lncRNA from 1 species